rnacentral:other from 1 species
GGCGAAGCCCGUCUGCACGGGCUA